GCCUGCCUAGCUCAAUCGGAUAGAGCGUAAGACUUUUACGCUCAAAGUAAGGCGGUGAAAUCUUAAGGCUGCGGGUUCGACCCCCGCGGUGGGCU